rnacentral:rRNA from 1 species
GAGUUUGAUCUUGGCUCAGAUUGAACGCUGGCGGCAUGCCUUACACAUGCAAGUCGAACGGCAGCACGGGAGCUUGCUCCUGGUGGCGAGUGGCGAACGGGUGAGUAAUGCAUCGGAACGUAUCCUGAAGUGGGGGAUAACGUAGCGAAAGUUACGCUAAUACCGCAUAUUCUGUGAGCAGGAAAGCGGGGGACCUUCGGGCCUCGCGCUCUUGGAGCGGCCGAUGUCGGAUUAGCUAGUUGGUGAGGUAAAGGCUCACCAAGGCGACGAUCCGUAGCAGGUCUGAGAGGAUGAUCUGCCACACUGGAACUGAGACACGGUCCAGACUCCUACGGGAGGCAGCAGUGGGGAAUUUUGGACAAUGGGGGCAACCCUGAUCCAGCCAUGCCGCGUGAGUGAAGAAGGCC